GUGGGGAAUAUUGGACAAUGGGGGGAACCCUGAUCCAGCCAUGCCGCGUGUGUGAAGAAGGCCUUUUGGUUGUAAAGCACUUUAAGCGAGGAGGAGGCUACCGAGAUUAAUACUCUUGGAUAGUGGACGUUACUCGCAGAAUAAGCACCGGCUAACUCUGUGCCAGCAGCCGCGGUAAUACAGAGGGUGCAAGCGUUAAUCGGAUUUACUGGGCGUAAAGCGCGCGUAGGUGGCCAAUUAAGUCAAAUGUGAAAUCCCCGAGCUUAACUUGGGAAUUGCAUUCGAGACUGGUUGGCUAGAGUAUGGGAGAGGAUGGUAGAAUUCCAGGUGUAGCGGUGAAAUGCGUAGAGAUCUGGAGGAAUACCGAUGGCGAAGGCAGCCAUCUGGCCUAAUACUGACACUGAGGUGCGAAAGCAUGGGGAGCAAACAGGACUAGAAACCCUAGUAGUCC
rnacentral:rRNA from 1 species